rnacentral:rRNA from 1 species
UACGUAGGUGGCAAGCGUUGUCCGGAAUUAUUGGGCGUAAAGCGCGCGCAGGCGGUCCUUUAAGUCUGAUGUGAAAGCCCACGGCUCAACCGUGGAGGGUCAUUGGAAACUGGGGGACUUGAGUGCAGGAGAGAAGACUGGAAUUCACGGUGUAGCAGUGAAAUGCGUAGAGAUCGUGAGGAAGACCAGUGGCGAAGGCGGGUCUCUGGACAGUUCCUGACGCUGAGGCGCGAAGGCCAGGGGAGCAAACGGG